AAGGCUUCAGUACGACCCAGUCAGAACCAUAAGUCUCAAAGCCCCGACGAGUAGGGUGGCGUGCCGGUGCGCGUCGAAGGCCAAGACGUGAGUCAGGCUGGAGCCGCCGGUAGUGCAGAUCUUGGUGGUAGUAGCAAGUACUCUGGUGAACCAACCUGGAGCUGUGAGGUCUGGAUUAGGGUUCCAUGUCAACAGUGAUUGAACAUGGGUGAGUCGAUCCUAAGCCAGCUGUGAAUGCAGUGACAUCCCGACAACGGGUACUGUUUACGUGCACCGGCGCUUACACCCCCAUACCAAAGCUCUCGUGUAUCUCUCUCUCAGUCUGUACGUGACGAAAUCGGUGAUAAAGAUCCGGAACUGCGCACACACAGUGAUCGCUACACUGCGUGAGUGUGUGCGCCCGCAUGCACGGUUACGCUCAUAAGCGUUGCUUACCGUCUCGGAAGAGUCUAUAAAAGCGCACCCAAACAAAAGCAAACAAACAAACAAACAAGCUAGCGAGGGAGAGAGAGAAAGAGAGUGGGUGAGCGUGAGUUGACCAUGCAUGAGUCCCCUGCGUUGGUUCUAUGUCCGGCGAAAGGGAAUGGGGACUUUUUUCCUUGACCGGUCCCGGCACCCUCGAUUGGCUUUGCCGAUCAAUGGUCCAUGCAAAUGGAACCAGGCCACAGCCGUCGGCAGUCGCCCGAGGAAGAGUUUUCUUUUCUGCUUAACGCACGAGGUCAUUCCUGGAAACAGUUCGGCUGGCGAAAGGGUGUCCCGUUGCGGCAGAGCGCCACGACUGUCGUGCGCGUCUCGGUGUUCCUGCUGAUCCGUGAAAACGUGGUCGAGGGGAUUGCUCUUGUAUCAACGAAACGUCCGACAAGUUCGGGACGGACCGUACCCUAUAUCCGCAUCUGGUCUCCAAGGUUCGUAGCCUCUGCAGAGUCUGACACAUGUAGGUAAGGGAAGUCGGCAAACUCGAUCCGUAACUUCGGGAAAAGGAUUGGCUCUGAGGGCCGAGCUGGGCCGGGCCUUGCCUGCAAAGCAGUACCUAUAGUGACCGGAGUUUCAGGAGUGCGAGGGGCUCUAGUAGCUGCUUGUGCGUGUGUGUACGUUCGCGCGUGCGUGCGCGUGUGGGCACGAACGAGUCCACCUCUCCGCUCCAACCACGAACGGCUGUGACGGCAAGGGCUCUGGGCGGGAGCGAUCUAUCCGUUGGCCUCCAGCGCGUCUGGUUGGCGGCGGUGCUCCGUCUGACCCAUACGGCUCCAGCGGCUAGCGGCUAACUCAGAACUGUCAUGGACUAAGGGAAUCCGACUGUCUAAUAAA
rnacentral:rRNA from 1 species